AUUGAACGCUGGCGGAAUGCUUUACACAUGCAAGUCGAACGGCAGCACGGGAGCUUGCUCCUGGUGGCGAGUGGCGAACGGGUGAGUAAUAUAUCGGAACGUAUCCAAUAAUGGGGGAUAACUAGUCGAAAGAUUAGCUAAUACCGCAUACGCCCUGAGGGGGAAAGCUAGGGACCGCAAGGCCUGGAGUUAAUGGAGCGGCGGAGAUCUGGUUAGCUAGUUGGUGAGUUAAAGGAUAACCAAGGCGACGAUCAGUAGCUGGUCUGAGAGGACGACCAGCCACACUGGAACUGAGACACGGUCCAGACUCCUACGGGAGGCAGCAGUGGGGAAUUUUGGACAAUGGGCGCAAGCCUGAUCCAGCCAUUCCGCGUGAGUGAAGAAGGCCUUCGGGUUGUAAAGCUCUUUCGCAAGGGAAGAAAACUUAUCCUCUAACAUAGGAUGAGGUUGACGGUACCUUGAUAAGAAGCACCGGCUAACUACGUGCCAGCCGCCGCAGUAACAC
rnacentral:rRNA from 1 species